AGCUCGCGUUGAUUACGUCCCUGCCCUUUGUACACACCGCCCGUCGCUACUAUCGAUUGAGCGGUUCAGUGAGGGCCUCGGAUUGGUCUCGGUCUGGCGUGCGAGCGCCGGCACCGUUGGCCGAGAAGACGCUCGAACUCGAUCGCUUGGAGAAAGUAAAAGUCGUAACAAGGUUUCCGUAGGUGAACCUGCGGAAGGAUCAUUA
rnacentral:rRNA from 1 species